rnacentral:rRNA from 1 species
GAUGAACGCUGGCGGCGUGCUUAACACAUGCAAGUCGAACGAAGCAUUUAGGACAGAUUACUUCGGUUUGAAGUUCUUUAUGACUGAGUGGCGGACGGGUGAGUAACGCGUGGGUAACCUGCCUUGUACUGGGGGAUAGCAGCUGGAAACGGCUGGUAAUACCGCAUAAGCGCACAAUGUUGCAUGACAUGGUGUGAAAAACUCCGGUGGUAUAAGAUGGACCCGCGUCUGAUUAGCUAGUUGGUGAGAUAACAGCCCACCAAGGCGACGAUCAGUAGCCGACCUGAGAGGGUGACCGGCCACAGUGGGACUGAGACACGGCCCAGACUCCUACGGGAGGCAGCAGUGGGGAAUAUUGCACAAUGGAGGAAACUCUGAUGCAGCGACGCCGCGUGAGUGAAGAAGUAAUUCGUUAUGUAAAGCUCUAUCAGCAGGGAAGAUAGUGACGGUACCUGACGAAGAAGCUCCGGCUAAAUACGUG